rnacentral:rRNA from 1 species
GUCCACGGCCAUACCACCCUGACUGCGCCCGAUCUCGUCUGAUCUCGGAAGCUAAGCAGGGUCGGGCCUGGUUAGUACUUGGAUGGGAGAAGGUUAGAAGAAAGGGUUGGGGAGA